CUUUGCCCCCGCCCCUCCGCCGGUGCCGGCGCGGAGGCCCCGCGCUCCCGUCCCGCCGCCAUGGCUGCGCCGGGGCCGGCACGGCUCCUCCGGGCCGCCGCCGCCGCCUCUCGCCACUGGCUCUUCUCCGCCUCGCCGGCAGCCGGGACGCGGCCGGGCUGCGGCAGCACCGCCGCUGCCGUGAGGGCAGCCCAGCCGUUCAGCCUCUCUGCCCGGGCGGUGCUCAGCUCAGAAGAUAAAAUAACUGUUCAUUUCAUAAAUCGUGAUGGUGACAAACUAACAGCCAAAGGAAAACCUGGGGAUUCACUCCUGGAUGUUGUUGUUAAUAAUAAUCUAGACAUAGAUGGGUUUGGUGCAUGUGAAGGAACGCUAGCCUGCUCAACUUGUCAUUUAAUCUUUGAAGACCACAUAUUUGAGAAACUAGAUGCAAUUACUGAUGAAGAGAUGGACAUGCUGGACCUGGCAUAUGGCCUCACAGAAACAUCUUCUUUCCACAGAAUCACAGAAGGGUUGAGGUUGGAGGGGACCUCUUGAGGUCAUCUGGGCCAACCCCCUGCUCAAGCAGGGCCACCUAGAGCCGAUACCCAGGACCAUGUCCAGACAACUUUUGAAUAUCUCCAAGGAUGGAGACUCCACAACCUCUCUGAUCACGUUUAGGCUGCCAAAUCUGCUUGAAGAAAUCCAUGGACGAUAUGACUGUUCGAGUACCAGAAGCUGUUGCGGAUGCUAGACAAUCAGUAGAUAUGAGUAAAAACUCCUAAAAGGAAAUAACUUAGGGGUUUUAAAGAAGCUUAAUUAUUUUUAUAACUUAUUUUUAAAUGUGUAAUUAAAUACGGAAACUUACAUAAUUGUGAGUUAUUUUAUAUGACUAUCAAUAUUAGAUGAAUGCUAUUUUAAUUUUCUUUAUAGAACCUCUUAUAUUUUUACGCUUAAAAUGCAAUAAUACUUCUUAUAAGUGAUCAUUGGAUUAAACGUUAGCAAGUGUAUUACAGGUUUCAUAUAACAUGAUUCUGCCAAAACCUUUAAUGACGUUUGCAAGCCGGAUCACUUCUACAAGACUUCUAAAAACCCCUGGGCAUUUCUAGGUUUCAGACCUAGAUAUGUAAGAGAGCAAAACUUGUAAGACUGCAUGGAGUCUUUUUAAAAUAAGUGUUGUCAUUAAAGAUGGUGUACUCAGAGCUAAUUCAUGUUCUCAGUAAAUAUGAUUCUUCCUCAGCAAAUAGUGGAUUUUCAGGGUAGGGAUUUUCCAAACUUUUUGUCUUGGCAAAAAUACUGUUAAAACCAUGAAAUCUAGGGGCCUAUACAGAAUGUUGGCACCUGCAGCUUAAUUGUUGCAGUGCAUCUCUGUGGCCUGAAUCAGAAAUCAGUAAACCUCAACUGUAUUGUGUUUGACUACACCACAAAUACGGGGAUACACAGGGCUUAGAAGAGUAAAGCGUUGGAGGUGUCUAGUGGGGGAGCAUAACCACUGGAGGUAAUAUAAAUUCUUGCUGUUCUUUGAAGAUGGUUGAGUUGGGAUUGAAGAGGGCAAUGUUUGCCAACAUUGUUCUGAAUUCUUUGUCCCUUUUUCAGUUUUGAGUUUGUUCAGGAGGCAGUGUGAUGUUAGCUAGGGCAUUCAGCUUAAAGAGGUUCCUGGGUUCUGGGUCUUGCUCUCAGGAUCGUUUCAGCAGUGGUUGAUGUGGAACAACCAAGUAUAUUUAUUCCAUAAGGAUGGACUAGGUUCCCCAGAAGGCCUAGGGAGACCCCCAUGGUGGGAUUGCCUGUGGACCGAUCAUGAAGAGCUUUCAGUUGGUUCUAGUUUUAGUUUUUCCAAAGUAGCACAAAAUAAAAUAAUGUCUCUAAGACUCUUUAUUAUUCUCUCCAAUUUUUGUUGCCUAAAUAAUUAAAUGGUUGUCACCAGUACAAUAGUUGGUUUACCCUUAUAAGGUUAUUUUAAUAUUUUGGGCAUAUUUAUAUAUGUAUGUAUAAAAUUUGUUUAUUUACAUUUGAAUGAUCUAAUGCAUUCAUUAAUGCCUUAUUUGAAGUGGUGACAAUGACAUCUAGGCAUCUUUUCUUGCAUUGUUAUGAGAGAGACGAAAAAUAUUUUUCCAGUGUCAAAUACUGAGAUUAUCUUGAGCUUCAUAAAGAAGGGGGGGAAAAAAAAAAGACCCUCUUGGUUAGAAAUAUUUUCUAAAACUGUAUUGAAAAUAGAUCUGGUUCAGAUUCUUUAAUUUUCUUUCUAAGUAGCUGUUUGUUUCCUGGUGUUCCCUUUGGACUUCCCCUGAAACAAGACAGGUUUAAUGUAUUCUGCUCAGAACUUAAUCAUAUAUGCUUUUUAGAAUACACUUCCUCUCAUCUAAUUCAAAUGUGACUUCAGAGUUGAAAUCUCCUGGCUUUUGAAAGACAGGGCAAGGCUGGGAAGAAGGGUGGAAAUAAGAUGAAGAAAUGUUCUGAAGAUAGUGCUGUCUUCCUCUUCAUCUGCUGUGACUCUAACUGUAAUUUAGAGAUUACCCUCCCACAAUCGGGCUCAAAGGUACAUGAGUUCUCCUUUGUGUUGCCUUAGUCCUGAGUUCAUUUAUAUACAUUUAUUAAAUCUUGAACUCUUUGGUUCUUUUUCAUGAGACAGCUCCUUAGAUUCCAAGAGAGGGAACAUAACUUGGGUCAUAACCAGAUGUACUGUGCAUUCUUGCAUCGGAAAGAAAUCUGAGGUUUCAGUAUAGUUACGGGGUUUAGGGGUAGAUGUUGGUGUUUGGGUUUUGGGGUUUUUUGGGUUUUGCUUUGGGUUGGUUUCUUGGAGUUUUUGUUUGUUCAUUUAUGCACAGCACGAGGCACUUCGCCUUGUGGGAAUCCUGAAGCAUUUGAUGCUUCGUUAAACAAAUGUGAAACAGCUCUCGUGACAGUUUCCUUUCUAAGCAAGGUUGUGUCAUUGUGCAUUUCCUGUGACAGCUUCUCAUUACAAAGACUUUGACUCUCCUGUAGUGUGCCUGUGGAAGGAAUUACUUAGCACAGCAAAGCAAAAAAGGACACUUCAAAGUUCAUCUUUGAAUUCUAGAGGUAUCCCAUAUUGCAUGCAAGUGGAAAUCUCAGAAGGCAAAGGAACUGACAUGUAAUCCCCAAAAUGCACAGUUCAGAGAUACUUGUUUCCUUAUUGUCAAAAUGAUUUGCAAAUAAAUCUUAUUUUUGGCCACUUUCUGACA